AACGAACGCUGGCGGCAGGCCUAACACAUGCAAGUCGAGCGCCCCGCAAGGGGAGCGGCGGACGGGUGAGUAACGCGUGGGAACGUACCCUUUUCUGCGGAAUAGCCCAGGGAAACUUGGAUUAAUACCGCAUACGCCCUUCGGGGGAAAGAUUUAUCGGAGAAGGAUCGGCCCGCGUUGGAUUAGGUAGUUGGUGGGGUAAUGGCCUACCAAGCCGACGAUCCAUAGCUGGUUUGAGAGGAUGAUCAGCCACACUGGGACUGAGACACGGCCCAGACUCCUACUGGAGGCAGCAGUGGGGAAUCUUCGGCAAUGGGCGCAAGCCUGACCGAGCCAUGCCGCGUGAGCGAUGAAGGCCUUAGGGUUGUAAAGCUCUUUCGCCAGGGAUGAUAAUGACAGUACCUGGUAAAGAAACCCCGGCUAACUCCGUGCCAGCCGCCGCGGUAAUAC
rnacentral:rRNA from 1 species